rnacentral:rRNA from 1 species
CAAUAGCGUAUAUUUAAGUUGUUGCAGUUAAAAAGCUCGUAGUUGGAUUUCGGAUGGGACUUGCCGGUCCGUCGUUUCGAUGUGCACUGGCCAGUCCUAUCUUGUUGUCGGGGACUAGCUCCUGGGCUUCACUGUCCGGGACUAGGAGCUGACGAGGUUACUUUGAGUAAAUUAGAGUGUUCAAAGCAAGCCUACGCUCUGAAUACAUUAGCAUGGAAUAACACGAUAGGACUCUGGCUUAUCUUGUUGGUCUGUGAGACCAAAGUAAUGAUUAAGAGGGACAGUCGGGGGCAUUCGUAUUUCAUUGUCAGAGGUGAAAUUCUUGGAUUUAUGAAAGACGAACUUCUGCGAAAGCAUUUGUCAAGGAUGUUUUCAUUAA